rnacentral:rRNA from 1 species
GCAAGUCGAGCGCUACCUUCGGGUGGAGCGGCGGACGGGUUAGUAACGCGUGGGAAUAUACCCAGUUCUAAGGAAUAGCCACUGGAAACGAUGAGUAAUACCGUAUACGCCCUUCGGGGGAAAGAUUUAUCGGAUUUGGAUCAGCCCGCGUUAGAUUAGAUAGUUGGUGGGGUAACGGCCUACCAAGUCUACGAUCUAUAGCUGGUUUUAGAGGAUGAUC